UGUCAAUUGCCAUUGCUGUUGUCAUGGGCGUUACGUUCCUUGGUGAUACACUUUGCCUGGGAAGCCUACUUGGAGCAUCGAUAAUAUCGAUUGGGUUUUAUACGGUACUAUGGGGAAAAGCUAAAGAAGACGCUGGUGAAGACUCCGGAGCUAAUAGCCUGGAGUCACCAUCUAGCAACAAGGCCCCUUUAUUGCAAACCUAUAAAACCGAGAAUGUCUAGACCAAACAUUUGUAGCAGUAUGUAUAUACAAGGUGAUCAACACUGUUGUAGGAUAAUAGAAUUGUGUAGAAAUAGUUGUGUGUAUUAUUGAUAAUAGGAGCCCUAUAUAUAGGGAAUUACAAAGUACCGUAAAGGUAAUAGAGUCCAAACAUAAUUAGGGAAUCUAUAACUACUCCUAUUACAACUCUACAACAAACCCUAGUUUGUAGAGGCA